rnacentral:rRNA from 1 species
UACGUAGGGUGCGAGCGUUGUCCGGAAUUAUUGGGCGUAAAGAGCUUGUAGGCGGUUUGUCGCGUCUGCUGUGAAAAUCCGGGGCUCAACCCCGGACUUGCAGUGGGUACGGGCAGACUAGAGUGUGGUAGGGGAGACUGGAAUUCCUGGUGUAGCGGUGAAAUGCGCAGAUAUCAGGAGGAACACCGAUGGCGAAGGCAGGUCGCUGGGACGGUACUGACGCUGGAGGCGCGAAAGCGUGGGGAGCAAACAGG